AGAGAGGUGCUCGAGUGGUUGAAGAGGCUACCCUGGAAAGGUAGUAUACGGGUAACCGUAUCGUGGGUUCGAAUCNCCAUCCUCUCUG
rnacentral:tRNA from 1 species